CGCCUACCGUGCAGUCGAACGGUCACAGGAAGAAGCUUGCUUCUUUGCUGACGAGUGGCGGACGGGUGAGUAAUGUCUGGGAAACUGCCUGAUGGAGGGGGAUAACUACUGGAAACGGUAGCUAAUACCGCAUAACGUCGCAAGACCAAAGAGGGGGACCUUCGGGCCUCUUGCCAUCGGAUGUGCCCAGAUGGGAUUAGCUUGUAGGUGGGGUAACGGCUCACCUAGGCGACGAUCCCUAGCUGGUCUGAGAGGAUGACCAGCCACACUGGAACUGAGACACGGUCCAGACUCCUACGGGAGGCAGCAGUGGGGAAUAUUGCACAAUGGGCGCAAGCCUGAUGCACCCAUGCCGCGUGUAUGAAGAAGGCCUUCGGGUUGUAAAGUACUUUCAGCGGGGAGGAAGGGAGUAAAGUUAAUACCUUUGCUCAUUGACGUUACCCGCAAAAGAAGCACCGGCUAACUCCGUGCCGCGCCCCGGGGGAAUAUAAAAAGGC
rnacentral:rRNA from 1 species